GGCUCAGUGGUCCAAUGGUAAAGCGCUCAUCACAGAGCCAGAGAGUUUUGGGUUCGAUCUCCGACGGGGUCG
rnacentral:tRNA from 1 species